GCGUGUUUCAGCUAGGAGGAAGCGCGUGAGUUUAGAAGCCACGCGGGGUUGUGGGGUGUCCCGGGAGCUCGAGGCGUGCGCUUUCUCUUUGGCCGUUCGCCGCUGAACGUCUUGUGUCCUUUCCGCCCUUUCGGGGUGGGGGAAAGCAGAGCUUCUCCACGAGCUGGGGCCCGUGAAGGAGAAGGGAGCCAGCGGGGGACUCUGGAGUGCCUGAGGGCAGGGCUGCGGCCCGGAAGAGGCGAGGAGAAGAGAGGGUUCCCGUAGGCAGGGUCCGCACGCGCUGGGAUCAGGGCUGGUCCCGAGAAGGGCCUGGGGCGGCCGCGCUAUGUUCGGGGCCCGGUGCCUGCUCCGAGCCCUGCGCUCCUGUUCCUCGGCUCCCUGCCCAAGGCACAAACCUUCAGCCAAACUGAGCGUGCGGGACGCUCUCGGGGCCCAGAACGCAAGUGGGGAGCGCGUUAAGGUCCAGGGAUGGAUUCGUUCAGUCCGAUCCCAGAAGGAAGUCUUGUUCCUGCAUGUAAAUGAUGGGUCAUCUUUGGAAAGCCUUCAGGUUGUAGCAGAUUCAAGCUUUGACAGUAGAGAACUGGCCUUUGGGAGUUCCGUGGAAGUUCAAGGGCAGCUGGUAAAAAGUUUGUCCAAAAGGCAAAAUGUGGAACUGAAGGCAGAAAAAAUUGAAGUUGUUGGAAAUUGUGAUGCCAAGGCUUUCCCUUUUAAAUAUAAAGAGAGGCAUCCUCUGGAGUAUCUGAGACAAUACCCUCACCUUAGGUGUAGGACUAAUGUUCUGGGUUCUAUACUGAGGGUUCGCAGUGAAGCCACAGCUGCUAUCCAUUCUUUCUUUAAGGACAGUGGCUUUGUGCAUAUUCAUACUCCAGUAAUCACAUCCAAUGACUGUGAGGGGGCUGGAGAACUUUUUCAAGUUAAGCCUUCAAGCAAAAUAAAGGUACCUGAGGAGAAUUUCUUCAAUGUUCCUGUUUUCUUAACUGUCUCAGGACAACUUCAUCUAGAAGUGAUGUCAGGAGCUUUUACUCAAGUGUUUACCUUUGGUCCAACAUUCCGAGCAGAGAAUUCUCAGAGCCGGAGACACCUGGCAGAGUUUUAUAUGGUAGAAGCAGAGAUUUCUUUUCUUGAGAGCCUUCAAGAUCUCAUGCAGGUUAUGGAGGGCCUCUUCAAGACUACAACAAUGACAGUUCUCUCAAAUUGUCCUGAAGAUGUUGAACUCUGUCACAAAUUCAUAGCUCCUGGCCAAAAGGACAGAUUAGAACAUAUGCUAAAAAACAACUUUCUAAUCAUUUCUUAUACUGAGGCAGUGGAGAUCUUAAAGCAGGCAUCCCAGAACUUCACCUUCACUCCAGAGUGGGGUGCUGAUCUACACACUGAACAUGAAAAGUACCUGGUGAAGCACUGUGGCGACAUACCAGUCUUUGUCAUUAAUUAUCCAUUAGCACUCAAGCCCUUCUACAUGAGGGAUAAUGAAGACAGCCCUCAGCACACAGUUGCUGCUGUUGAUCUUCUGGUUCCUGGAGUUGGAGAACUCUUUGGGGGAAGCCUCAGAGAAGAACGGUACCAUUUCUUAGAGCAGCGAUUGGCCAGGUCAGGACUGACAGAAGCCUACCAAUGGUAUCUGGACCUCCGUCAAUUUGGAUCUGUGCCACAUGGAGGUUUUGGGAUGGGAUUUGAACGCUAUCUGCAGUGCAUCUUGGGAAUUGACAAUAUCAAAGAUGUUAUCCCUUUUCCAAGAUUUACUCAUUCGUGUCUUUUGUAGCUGAAGACUGCUUAAGGAAAACCACCCUGUGCCAGAGGUACUGCACAUGAAUAUACAUACAGGAGAAUGCAUGUUUGAACUGUUGAAAUGCAGAAGUUUUCAAUAUGUAAUUGUCAUGCUAGAAGAUACAUGAAAGAUACAUGUGAUCAUGAUUUUCAUUGAAAGUUGAAGGCAUUUCAUGGAAAGAUGAACUCCAUCAAGAAGAGUUCCCAUUCUCAUUUCAAAUUUUGAAGAAGGUGGAGAAAAAUAGUUACUUUCCAUCUGGCUGUCCGCUUGCCUGCGACUGAACAGGCAUUGAAGAUGCAACUGGUGAAAUGGAUUAACUCUACCCUUCUUUAAAUCUCUUCAGGUUUUUGCAUCAGGAAACUGUCGGGUCAGAUUUCUGCCAGAAAAUGUGCUGGAUGUUUCGUGUCUUGGAAGGGGUAUUAGACGUAGAGGGAGAAGACUCUGGUUUAUGUCUGACGCUCUACUUACCAGCUGUGGAACCUUGAGCAAGUUAUUUUAUCUCUGAGUUUGUAUACUUAUCUGCAAAAUGAGGAUAAUAUUUAACUUACAGAGUGUUGUGAGAAACGGCGAAGACUGUGUGAAAGGGUUUCAUAAGUUGACAACACUACACAAAUGUAAGGUCUCCUAAGGGAAUCCUUUUCAAAACUCAAAAAAAAAAAUCUGUAUGAAGUAAGAUAUUUAUUACAUGUUGAAUGAAAUAUUUUAUAGCCAUAAAAAUUAUAAGAGAAAAUGUGUUGAAAAAUUUUUAAGUUGUACUUUGCAGUUACAACAGUGUAAAAGCUGUGCACAUGGACUAGAAGCAUAUGGGAAAAAACGGAAUCAGCUGUUUCAGGACAGUGGAAUUGAGCGACUUUUCUUUAAAAAUCUCUUUGGCCUAUUCAAUUCAGUAGAUGCACUGUGCCAGGUUAAGUGCUCGAUUCUGUGAACACAGAGAAAAAUAGGAUAUGCUCCCACGUCUCAGGGACUCCCAUUUUGUAUAAUCUUUGUUAAAGUUUAUUAUGUAUAAGAAUCACCUGGGGAGCUUAUUAAAAGUUCAGAUUAUCCUGAUACCACCCUAGAAAGUCUGUUCCACCCUGAAAGGUCUAGGAUGGAACAGCACACAGUUAGCAUUCUUCAAACAGUCACCCUGAGUGAUUCUAAUAUAGGUGGUUUAACUUCACACUGUGAGAAACCUUCAGUGAGGUUUUAAUGUUUUUACUGUAAAAAGUAAUAAUUACACAGAUCUGCUCAUUGAAGAAUUUGAUUGUUCUGUCUGGACCUUUUUUUUUAAUAUAUAUAUUUUUUUAAUUUUAUUUUUUUGGCUGCAUUGGGUCUUCUUUGCAGCGCAAUGGCUUUCUCUAAUUGCAGUGAGGAGGGGCUACUCUUCGUUGCGGUGUGCGGGCUUCUCAUUGCGGUGGCUUCUCUUGUUGUGGAGCCCGGGCUCUAGGCGCGCGGGCUUCAGUAGUUGUGGCACGUGGGCCCUAGAGCGCGCGGGCUUCAGUAGUUGCGGCACAU